rnacentral:rRNA from 1 species
AAAAUUACAUUCAAAUCCAAAUUCAAAAAAUUAUUGCUAAAACUUUUCCUUAAAUAAAUUUAUUGUAAUCCAUCUCCACUUUAAAAAACUGCACCUUGAUCUGAUUUCUAAUAAAAUUUUAUAUUAAAAUUAUAUAUAUUUAAAAAUAAUUUUUAACGACGAUAUACAAGCAAAAUUAAAGUACUAUUAAUCGUGGAUUAUCGAUUAUAGGACAGAUUCCCCUGAUUGGAAUAAAAAACCGCCAAAUUUUUUGAUUUUUAAGAGCGUAACUUACAUUCAUCAGGUCUUAAUAUUCUACAUCUAGAAUAAAGGGGUAUCUAAUCCCAGUUUAUAUUCUAGGUUUCUUAACUUCAUAACCAAAAAUUCUAAUUGAUUUUAAAAAUAGGAUUUCACCCAAUAUUUUCCAAAAUAAAAUUUCACUCUUAUUAAUUAAGUAAAUAAACCGAAAAAAAAUAAUUACAUUAUUUGUAUAACCGCA